rnacentral:rRNA from 1 species
UACGGAGGGUGCAAGCGUUAAUCGGAAUUACUGGGCGUAAAGCGUGCGCAGGCGGUUUGUUAAGUCUGCUGUGAAAUCCCCGAGCUCAACUUGGGAAUUGCAGUGGAUACUGGCAAGCUGGAGUACGGUAGAGGAAGGUGGAAUUCCCGGUGUAGCAGUGAAAUGCGUAGAGAUCGGGAGGAACACCAGUGGCGAAGGCGGCCUUCUGGACCAAUACUGACGCUCAUGCACGAAAGCGUGGGGAGCAAACAGG